AGUACGAUAAUAUGGCCAUAACAAUUUGGCAACGCUGAAUUCGUCAUUCCUCGGCCCUCGCCAUUCACAGCAGGAGGGGAGGGUGUGAUUGCUCGUGUCCUCGACGUUCUUAAUUAUUUUUUUUUUAAUACUUAAUACUCUUCUGUAAGCGGCUCAACAAGUGUGUUUCUGUCCACCAGCUGCUUCCUGGAGAUGCCCUGUCAGCUGUUGUGAGAGGAAAAAGGUCAGGAGAUAGAGCAGCUGGUGAAGAGGGAAGAGGUGGUGGUGAAGAGAGAAGAGGGGCACUCAUGGAGAGUGUGUCUCUUGCCUGCAGCCUGCCAGUAUGAGGUGCCAGUUAUGCAUUUCUGCUCUGUUGCAUACAUAGGAAGACAAUCAACACCAAUGUUUUGUCUUUGGCCAUAUUAUCUGCUACUUUCUGUUGGCACACUAAGUCAAAAUGAGUUUUGAUUUUCUCAUUGAUAUUGCAAGUGAUGAUGAUACUGCAUAUGCAUUUCUGCAGGAACGUCAUUGCAUAAGACAUGCAACUCCAAAGUGUAUUUUCUGUGAUAGGAUCAUGACUUGGGUUAAGAGUGGCAGGGGCAGAGACUUAACAUGGAGGUGCCCAGAGCACAAGAGUCGCAAAGUCAGUGCACGCUCUGGAUCCUUCUGGCAAAAUUCACAGUUGUCUUAUUCAAAACUUCUACAACUAGCUUUCUUUUGGAGCCAUAGCAUACAGAACAAGACGUGUGAAGAAUUCACUGGUUUGCAAAAUAAAACCGUGAUUCAGUGGUACCAGUACUUCAGAAAUGUUUGUUCUCAUUAUCUUAUACAAAACCCCAUUAUGAUUGGGGGCCCAGGUGUAAAUGUUGAGCUUGAUGUGCCUCUUAUGGCAAAAAAAAGGUACAACAAAGGCCAUCUUGUUCCUGAAAGACGGGUUUUUGGAGGAGUUUGCCCUGAUACCCAAGAAGGCUUCCUUGUGUUAGUUCCGGACAGUGAGGCAACUACGCUGCUUCCCCUCAUUCAGGAACAUGUUCAUCCGGGAUCUAUAAUCCACACAGAUGGGAGUGCCUCAUAUAAAAGUAUUUCUAUGAUGAAUGUGGAGCCACCUUACGUCCACCACACUGACAACCCUGAUGACCCUAUUAAAGGUGUCUGCAUAAACUAUGUAGAAAAUUAUUUGACAAAGGCCAAGAAUAAGUUCAAAACUAUGUGUGGGAUUCGAGGAAAUUUUGUAGACAGUUAUUUGGAUGAAUUUCAAUGGAGAGAAAGGUUUGGAAAUACUGGAAUGGAUGCAUUUAACAAUCUUCUACUUCACAUCAGUCAGUGGUAUCCAACUCCAUAAGCAUCAGUCACACACAAUGCCCAUCUCAUGAUAUGAAAUUGAUAAUUUUCUUGUUUUAAGUAUGAUAAACAGUAGAAGAGAAUCUUUUGAGUGUGUGGUAUCCAGCAUCCUACAUGAUGUCCAUCUGUGAUGUAAAAGUGAUAUUGUAUCUUUCCUUGAGAAUUAUUAAGAGUGUUGCAGGGAGUGUGGUAGAAAAUUUGUGAGACUGUUUGUGUGAUAUCCAAUAUCCUAGUAAUAUUCUCACACGAUGCUUGACUUGGAACUUAGAUGAAAAUAAUUUCAUAUCUUGUCUUAAGUAUGAUUUAGAAUCCAUUGGAAGGUGUGGUAGAGAGUUUCAAAAUAUGUGUGACUAUGACAGAAUGUGGAAGACAGUGUUACUGUGUGGGAGGGAUUGUAGUGGGAAUGUCUGAGUGAGGCAGGGUGGUCAUGAGAGUAGCAGAAUUUGGUCAAAGGAACUACAAGGAGAAUAAAAAAACCUUGUGUUCAUUGUUACAUGUCAUUAUCCUCACUCACUGAGAGUGGCAACACUGCAGAAAUGCAUAAUUGGAAGCUUAUACUUCUGUGGGACCCAGCCAGGUGGGAGGGGAAGGAUGCAUUUUCCACAAGUGCUGAGAAUAGGAAGAAGACGUGAAGAGAGAAGACAAAAGUGCUGUAGAAGAGAAGAUAUUGAUAAUGGGUCUGCUUGAGUGUGUUUCUGUCCACCAGUUGCCACUCAGAGAUGCCCUGUCAGCUGUUGUGAGAGGAAAAGGAGGAGGUAGAGCAGCUGGUGAAGAGGGAAGAGGGGCACUCAUGGAGAGUGUGGCUCUUGUCUGCAGCCUGCCAAUAUGAGGUGCCAGUUAUGCAUUUCUGCUCUAUUGCAUACAUAGGAGGACAAUCAAUGCCAGUUUUUGUCUUUGGCCACAUUAUCUGCUACUUUGUUGGCACACUAAGUCAAUAUGAGUUUUGAUUUUAUCAUUGAUAUUGCAAGUGAUGAUGAUACUGCAUAUGCAUUUCUGCAGGAACGUCAUUGCAUAAGACAUGCAACUCCAAAGUGUGUUUUCUGUGAUAGGGUCAUGACUUGGGUUAAGAGUGGCAGGGGCAGAGACUUAACAUGGAGGUGCCCAGAGCACAAGAGUCGCAAAGUCAGUCCACGCUCUGGAUCCUUCUGGCAAAAUUCACAGUUGUCUUAUUCAAAACUUCUACAACUAGCUUUCUUUUGGAGCCAUAGCAUACAGAACAAGACAUGUGAAGAAUUCACUGGUUUACGAAAUAAAGCUGUGAUUCAGUGGUACCAGUACUUCAGAAAUGUUUGUUCUCAUUAUCUUAUACAAAACCCCAUUAUGAUUGGGGGCCCAGGUGUAAAUGUUGAGCUUGAUGUGCCUCUUAUGGCAAAAAAAAGGUACAACAAAGGCCAUCUUGUUCCUGAAAGACGGGUUUUUGGAGGAGUUUGCCCUGAUACCCAAGAAGGCUUCCUUGUGUUAGUUCCGGACAGUGAGGCAACUACGCUGCUUCCCCUCAUUCAGGAACAUGUUCAUCCAGGAUCUAUAAUCCACACUGAUGGGAGUGCCUCAUAUAAAAGUAUUUCUAAGAUGAAUGUGGAGCCACCUUACGUCCACCACACUGACAACCCUGAUGACCCUAUUAAAGAUGUCUGCAUAAACUAUGUAGAAAAUUAUUUGACAAAGGCCAAGAAUAAGUUCAAAACAAUGUGUGGGAUCCAAGGAAAUUUUGUAGACAGUUAUUUGGAUGAAUUUCAAUGGAGAGAAAGAUUUGGAAAUACUGGAAUGGAUGCAUUUAACAAUCUUCUACUUCACAUCAGUCAGUGGUAUCCAACUCCAUAAGCAUCAGUCACACACAAUGCCCAUCUCAUGAUAUGAAAUUGAUAAUUUUCUUGUUUUAAGUAUGAUAAACAGUGGAAGAGAAUCUUUUGAGUGUGUGGUAUCCAGCAUCUUAUAUGAUGUCCAUUUGUGAUGUAAAAGUGAUUUUGUAUCUUUCCUCGAGAAUUAUUAAGAGUGUUGCAGGGAGUGUGGUAGAAAAUUUGUGAGACUGUGUGAUAUCCAAUAUCCUAGUACUAUUCUCACACACGAUGCUUGACUUGCGACUUAGAUGAAAAUAAUUUCAUAUCUUGUCUUAAGUAUGAUUUAGAAUGCAUUGGAAGGUGUCAUAUAGUUUCAAAAUGUAUGUGUGACUACGACAGAAUGUGGAAGAUGGUCUGACAGUGUGGGUGAGACUUUGGUGGGAAUGUCUGAGUGAGGCAGGGUGGUCACUAGAGUAGCAGAGUUUGGUCAAAGAAACUACAAGAAAAAAAAUCCUUGUGUUCAUUGUUGCAUGGUAAUAUCCUCACUCACCCAGAGUGGCAACACUGCAGAAAUGCAUAAUUGGAAGCUUAUAUUUCUGUGGGACCCAGCCAGACGGGAGGGUAAGGACGCAUUUUCCACAAGUGCUGAGAAUAGGAAGAAGACGUGAAGAAAGAAGACAAAAGUGCUGUAGAAGAGAAGAUAUUGAUAAUGAUCUGCUUUAGUGUGGCAAAGACUAUCCUGGCCAGCUCCCAGAGUGAGGUGAGGAGGAUGGUGGUGGAAAGCAUUGGCUGACCAGUGGGGGCUACUUAGUGAGUUCGAGAUCCCCUAACCAGAAUGUCAACAUCAUCACCAAAGUUGUGGUACAUCAAUGGAGACAGGUGAUAAUUGUCUACCUGCAUCUUGAUGGCCUAAAUCUCAAGUUGUCGGUGUGAUGUGAUGCAGUGGUCUCAUGGCUGAAGGAGGAACAUGGAGGAAGAUGCAUAUUCUUGUAGAUGAGGAAGGUUUGUCUUGUCUAGCCCAGAUGCACUGCUGCUGUUCAUGAUGGCUCUCCCACAUUGUCACGCAUUGCUUCAGGGAAGAAGUCUUCUGUCCCACCUUCACACACCUGAGGAAGAACACCAUCAAUUCACUCUACAUUGUAUUGUUAAAUACUUCAAUCACUAUUUUUCUCAUCUCAGAAAAUUCUAGUUUAAUGAAUGGCUUUCUGUUACAAUUAGAAAUAAAGUAAGUUUUUGUAAAUAAAAUUAGAUUCAGAAGGGGAGGUACAGUAAGCACAUUUACAACAAAGAACAGCUGUAUUUGAGAAAGAACCGAGGAAGUGAAGAUGCUUACAGCUCCCGUAUGGGACAAUGUGUAUCUGAAAAGACAAAGAUGAUUGGAGCAAGUUUACAUUAACCAUUAUAAACUAGGUUAAUAUGGAAUACCACACAAGUUUAGCUUAAGCCCUGUACACAAUAAGAUAUAGAUUAUUAAUAUUAAAUGCUUUUUUACCAAGCUCUACAAUUGCAUUUAAGAUCAUCUGGCCUUUGAAAGACUGUGAUGUGGAUGCUUGCCACAUGUGUUGUCAUUACCUUACUUCAUUGCCAAGUUGCUGCCACAUCUGUAAAAUAUACCGUGUAUAAAUAAAUACAAUUUUA